UGGUGGGUAGUUUGACUGGGGCGGUCUCCUCCUAAAGAGUAACGGAGGAGCACGAAGGUUGGCUAAUCCUGGUCGGACAUCAGGAGGUUAGUGCAAUGGCAUAAGCCAGCUUGACUGCGAGCGUGACGGCGCGAGCAGGUGCGAAAGCAGGUCAUAGUGAUCCGGUGGUUCUGAAUGGAAGGGCCAUCGCUCAACGGAUAAAAGGUACUCCGGGGAUAACAGGCUGAUACCGCCCAAGAGUUCAUAUCGACGGCGGUGUUUGGCACCUCGAUGUCGGCUCAUCACAUCCUGGGGCUGAAGUAGGUCCCAAGGGUAUGGCUGUUCGCCAUUUAAAGUGGUACGCGAGCUGGGUUUAGAACGUCGUGAGACAGUUCGGUCCCUAUCUGCCGUGGGCGCUGGAGAACUGAGGGGGGCUGCUCCUAGUACGAGAGGACCGGAGUGGACGCAUCACUGGUGUUCGGGUUGUCAUGCCAAUGGCACUGCCCGGUAGCUAAAUGCGGAAGAGAUAAGUGCUGAAAGCAUCUAAGCACGAAACUUGCCCCGAGAUGAGUUCUCCCUGAGACUUUAGGUCUCCUGAAGGAACGUUGAAGACGACGACGUUGAUAGGCCGGGUGUGUAAGCGCAGCGAUGCGUUGAGCUAACCGGUACUAAUGAACCGUGAGGCUUAACCUU
rnacentral:rRNA from 11 species